AUGAGCGGGAGCGGGGGAGGCAGCAGCGGCAUCAUCAGCAUGGACCAGCACCAGCAGCUCCCCCGCAGAGUUGAGGUGGUGAUGGCGGAGGAGCUGGGGGCCGGGGACUACUUCUCCACGCCGCCAUCGGCGUCGUCCACCACCAACGCCGGCAAGCUGCUGGCCCUGCCCAGCCCCAGGUCACCCCUCCAGCCACAGCCGCUCUUCACCGCUGGGUUCACCGUCCCGGCCUUGCACCCCUUCGCCGGCCUCACCUUGCGCCAUAUGGUUAGUAGUACACUUGCCUCUUCAGUCUUCAUCUCCCUUCCCGCCAAAUCAAAGGCAGCAAGCUGA
rnacentral:rRNA from 1 species